rnacentral:misc_RNA from 1 species
CCAAAUCAACGGCCGAAAGGCCUUGCCCUAGGGGGGGAAACCCCCCGACGGUAAACCCUUUGUGAAAACCCUUCGUUUGCCUCGGCGGCACCUUUUAAUUAAGGGUCAGCCCGCCGACGGCACCAACCAAAACUCUUUUUUUGAAUUGAAGAAUGUCUGAAUCAAUGGUCGAAUGACUAUA